GAUGAAGAACGCAGCGAAAUGCGAUAAGUAGUGUGAAUUGCAGAAUUCAGUGAAUCAUCGAAUCUUUGAACGCACAUUGCGCCCCUUGGUAUCCCGAGGGGCAUGCCUGUUCGAGUGUCAUUUCACCACUCAAGCCUGGCUUGGUGUUGGGCGACGUCCUCUUUGGGGACGCGCCUCGAAACGCUCGGCGGCGUGGCACCGGCUUUAAGCGUAGCAGAAUCUUUCGCUUUGGAAGUCGGGGCCCCGUCUGCCGGAAGACCUGCUCGCAAGGUUGACCUCGGAUCAGGCAGGGAUACCCGCUGAACUUAAGCAUAUCAAUAAGCGGAGGA
rnacentral:misc_RNA from 1 species